rnacentral:rRNA from 2 species
AACCCUUGUCCUUAGUUACCAGCACGUUAUGGUGGGCACUCUAAGGAGACUGCCGGUGACAACCGGAGGAAGGUGGGGAUGACGUCAAGUCAUCAUGGCCCUUACGGCCUGGGCUACACACGUGCUACAAUGGUCGGUACAAAGGGUUGCCAAGCCGCGAGGUGGAGCUAAUCCCAUAAAACCGAUCGUAGUCCGGAUCGCAGUCUGCAACUCGACUGCGUGAAGUCGGAAUCGCUAGUAAUCGUGAAUCAGAAUGUCACGGUGAAUACGUUCCCGGGCCUU